UACGUAGGGUGCAAGCGUUGUCCGGAAUUAUUGGGCGUAAAGAGCUCGUAGGCGGUCUGUCGCGUCUGCUGUGAAAACUCGGGGCUUAACCCCGGGCCUGCAGUGGGUACGGGCAGACUAGAGUGCGGUAGGGGGAGACUGGAAUUCCUGGUGUAGCGGUGAAAUGCGCAGAUAUCAGGAGGAACACCGGUGGCGAAGGCGGGUCUCUGGGCCGUAACUGACGCUGAGGAGCGAAAGCGUGGGGAGCAAACAGG
rnacentral:rRNA from 1 species